UGCUCUGAGUGAUCAAUUGGUCA
rnacentral:siRNA from 1 species